UGCAGGUUACUCAUAUGUAGUCAACGGAUAAUUUUGAUAGAGGAGAGUGCAAAGGCAAAUAUUAAUGUGGAGAAGGUUUUCUUUUCAAAAGCAAGGGAUAUUAAAUGAAGGCUUGCUGAUACUAAUUCCAAGAUUGAGGUAUGCAAAAAGAUCCUCAAUGGCUUGGUUGCUUACAAUAUUAGAACCAUAAAGACUUUUAACAGAGAAAGCAUGAAGUCCAUAAACAAAUGGUUAAACUAUUUGACUUUUGGUUUAUUUUAGGAUUAUAAAUGUUAUUUUGAGCUAUGAAUCUAAAUUUUUAUGAUGUUAUGAAGAAAGGUUUUUGUUUU